CCUACGGGAGGCAGCAGUGGGGAAUUUUGGACAAUGGGCGAAAGCCUGAUCCAGCAAUGCCGCGUGAGUGAAGAAGGCCUUCGGGUUGUAAAGCUCUUUUGUCAGGGAAGAAACGGUGAGAGCUAAUAUCUCUUUCUAAUGACGGUACCUGAAGAAUAAGCACCGGCUAACUACGUGCCAGCAGCCGCGGUAAUACGUAGGGUGCAAGCGUUAAUCGGAAUUACUGGGCGUAAAGCGUGCGCAGGCGGUUUUGUAAGUCUGAUGUGAAAUCCCCGGGCUCAACCUGGGAAUUGCAUUGGAGACUGCAAGGCUAGAAUCUGGCAGAGGGGGGUAGAAUUCCACGUGUAGCAGUGAAAUGCGUAGAUAUGUGGAGGAACACCGAUGGCGAAGGCAGCCCCCUGGGUCAAGAUUGACGCUCAUGCACGAAAGCGUGGGGAGCAAACAGGAUUAGAUACCCUGGUAGUCCACGCCCUAAACGAUGUCUACUAGUUNUCGGGUCUUAAUUGACUUGGUAACGCAGCUAACGCGUGAAGUAGACCGCCUGGGGAGUACGGUCGCAAGAUUAAAACUCAAAGGAAUUGACGG
rnacentral:rRNA from 1 species